rnacentral:misc_RNA from 1 species
GAUGAAGAACGCAGCGAAAUGCGAUAAGUAAUGUGAAUUGCAGAAUUCAGUGAAUCAUCGAAUCUUUGAACGCACAUUGCGCCCGCCAGUAUUCUGGCGGGCAUGCCUGUCCGAGCGUCAUUUCAACCAUCAAGCCCCGGGCUUGUGUUGGGGACCUGCGUCCGACGCAGGCCCUGAAAACCAGUGGCGGGCUCGCUGUCCACACCGAGCGUAGUAACUAACCUCGCUAUGGAGUGGCGCGGGCGCCUGCCGUAAAACCCCCAAUUUCACAAGGUUGACCUCGGAUCAGGUAGGAAGACCCGCUGAACUUAAGCAUAUCAAUAAGCGGAGGA